AAGCUGCAACAAAUUUGGAGCUUGGAAUUUAGUAAGCUGUAAAGGAGAGGGUGUGAUGCUGGAAUUUCAGCACUACGCAGAAUUUCAGCAUGAAACAGAUUUUAGUAAAAGCUGAAAACAAGUCAGGAGGAGCUCAAAAUUGAGGUUCCAGUGCGAGCGUUGUGGCCGAGGACCGUGGCAAGAGCCCCGCAGCCUAGCUAGUUGACACCAGAGUAUAGCAGU